rnacentral:rRNA from 1 species
AGGAAGCAGCUUGCUGCUUCGCUGACGAGUGGCGGACGGGUGAGUAAUGUCUGGGAAACUGCCUGAUGGAGGGGGAUAACUACUGGAAACGGUAGCUAAUACCGCAUAACGUCGCAAGACCAAAGAGGGGGACCUUCGGGCCUCUUGCCAUCGGAUGUGCCCAGAUGGGAUUAGCUAGUAGGUGGGGUAACGGCUCACCUAGGCGACGAUCCCUAGCUGGUCUGAGAGGAUGACCAGCCACACUGGAACUGAGACACGGUCCAGACUCCUACGGGAGGCAGCAGUGGGGAAUAUUGCACAAUGGGCGCAAGCCUGAUGCAGCCAUGCCGCGUGUAUGAAGAAGGCCUUCGGGUUGUAAAGUACUUUCAGCGGGGAGGAAGGGAGUAAAGUUAAUACCUUUGCUCAUUGACGUUACCCGCAGAAGAAGCACCGGCUAACUCCGUGCCAGCAGCCGCGGUAAUACGGAGGGUGCAAGCGUUAAUCGGAAUUACUGGGCGUAAAGCGCACGCAGGCGGUUUGUUAAGUCAGAUGUGAAAUCCCCGGGCUCAACCUGGGAACUGCAUCUGAUACUGGCAAGCUUGAGUCUCGUAGAGGGGGGUAGAAUUCCAGGUGUAGCGGUGAAAUGCGUAGAGAUCUGGAGGAAUACCGGUGGCGAAGGCGGCCCCCUGGACGAAGACUGACGCUCAGGUGCGAGAGCGUGGGGAGCAGAGAGGAUUAGAUACCCUGGUAGUCCACGCCGUAAACGAUGUCGACUUGGAGGUUGUGCCCUUGAGGCGUGGCUUCCGGAGCUAACGCGUUAAGUCGACCGCCUGGGGAGUACGGCCGCAAGGUUAAAACUCAAAUGAAUUGACGGGGGCCCGCACAAGCGGUGGAG